rnacentral:rRNA from 1 species
GAUCAUGGCUCAGGAUGAACGCUGGCGGCGUGCCUAACACAUGCAAGUCGAACGAGGCACCUUACUUGAUUCUUCGGAUGAAGGUCUGGUGACUGAGUGGCGGACGGGUGAGUAACGCGUGGGUAACUUGCCCUGUACAGGGGGAUAACAGCUGGAAACGGCUGCUAAUACCGCAUAAGCACACGAAGAGACAUCUCCUAGUGUGAAAAACUCCGGUGGUACAGGAUGGGCCCGCGU